rnacentral:rRNA from 1 species
GAUGAACGCUGGCGGCGUGCCUAAUACAUGCAAGUCGAGCGAACAGACGAGGAGCUUGCUCCUCUGACGUUAGCGGCGAACGGGUGAGUAACACGUGGAUAACCUACCUAUAAGACUGGGAUAACUUCGGGAAACCGGAGCUAAUACCGGAUAAUAUAUUGAACCGCAUGGUUCAAUAGUGAAAGACGGUUUUGCUGUCACUUAUAGAUGGAUCCGCGCCGCAUUAGCUAGUUGGUAAGGUAACGGCUUACCAAGGCAACGAUGCGUAGCCGACCUGAGAGGGUGGUCGGCCACACUGGAACUGAGACACGGUCCAGACUCCUACGGGAGGCAGCAGUAGGGAAUCUUCCGCAAUGGGCGAAAGCCUGACGGAGCAACGCCGCGUGAGUGAUGAAGGUCUUCGGAUCGUAAAACUCUGUUAUUAGGGGAGAACAAAUGUGUAAGUAACUAUGCACGUCUUGACGGUACCUAAUCAGAAAGCCACGGCUAACUACGUG